rnacentral:lncRNA from 1 species
GAGCAUUGGGAGCGCCAUUUUUGUUGGAAGACCCUGCAAACCAGUUCCUACGUCUCAAAAGACAUGUAAAUUUGCAGGAUUACUGGGACCCAGAUCACAGUUCAGAUGUGUGGGUAAACACACUGGCUAAGCAGGAUCUGAUUAUCAUCAGGCAUGAGGAUUGUAUAAAGUCAUAAAAAGUUGAAUGUCCUUGUUUUCAUGGGGCCUUGAUCUUGUCCGUACUCCACAUAACUGGGUCUUAACCGGUCUACCAGGAUCUGCUUGUUUUGCACUUGCUGAUGAAAACUACUAACUGAAUAAUGCAUCCAGUUUUAUGGCUGUUUUUGUCCAAUAGGCAUUAUUUAGCAUUAUUAAAACAAGACAUUUGUUUAUUUGGUCAAUUAAGUGAUUAAGUAGGCUGGUAGACUGUGUCUUCUUUAUAGAAUGUUGACAUUUUCAGGUACUCUCCUGCCUCUACUUGUAGACCAGAUUUGUACCAACUGACAGGCACUAUGUAAUGUAGCAAGACUCUGCUACAUUGGUUUAUACUGUGGCCCCACAAAUACUGUAAAAUAUCUGAGUAUUGAAAUAAACAGAUAAUUAAAAGUA